CACAUGACCAAAAUAUGGCGGCUGCAGACAAAAACACAUGUUAAUUUCAAAAAUUAACGCAGACAUAUGAACUUCCGGGUGUGCCAGAGAGGUUGAUUUGUUUCUCCAGGGAAGAUUUGGGUCCUGAGAGAGAAUCUUAACAUAAGCAGCCAUGCCAGAAUGUUUAGUGUGUGGGGAAGAAGAAUUUGAUGAGCAUGAC